GUGGGAGAAAAAUAUAAUGUAACCUAGGAUAUAUGUAUCCAGAUAUGUACAAUGCAUAUAGUUAGAAAACUGCUUGAAAGAACAAGAUGUGCUUGUGACAGAUAACCAGCAAAAAUGUAAGGGAGGGGUGAGUGCUCUACCACAGCUUAUGUCAUAUAGGCCUACGUGCAGGAGAUAAAGCAGAACACUCUCCCAUUUUAUCAUAACAAGCUCAUGUGCCUAAGGAGGAAAGACGGAUGGUAAAUGUACGCUUUGUAGUUACUGUAGCAGUGUGUUAAUUGCAAAACAAAUGUUACAUGACUUAAAGGCCAGAUGUGGGCCCAGGAGUACAACGUGUGAUGAAAAAGUACUGUACUGUACUGUAUGAAGAUGAUUGGCUUUCACCGUAUUGUAUUCAUGUGAUAACUUAGGAUGUGUAAUGGUAUAAGAAUAGACACCCUGUCUGCUCAAAUCUAGUGUGUAUUCUCACAUUGGUGUCAUGCAUUCUCCGUGCUUUGUUUUGCGGCAGUAUUAAUGAAAUUCAUAUUAUUGUAGCUCUCCUUGCUGUGGAAGAACUGGGUUCUUUUAAACGGGAAAGGUUGCUUGCAAGAUGUCUCUCCAGGGAAUUUCCCCCACUGUAACUUGGCGUAGUCGGCAGGAUCUCUAACUCGUUUGAGAAAGUUUGUGAUAAAUUUACAGGACCCCUAAGAAUAAUGUGGAACCAACACGGACCACCAGCCGUGGAAGGUUUAAAAAAAAUUAUUUUGUUAAAAAAAAGGAGUUAAAAGGAUUUCAGUUAUGGGAACGAGAGGCGCGUGAAAGGCAGGAGAGACAACAAAGAAAUAAUGAUAAAAAAGGGGAGACUCAGCCUCCGUCGUAUUUUUCAGCUGGGGCGAGUGGGAAAAGCACACCCUGUGUAUAUCCCUCACUAACCAUGUUAAAACAUUCUGAGAUUGACACGGACCUGGACUGCCCGGUGCCCCGUCCACCUCCUCACGCACCUUCACCGCACCAGCCAGCCCCAGUCCCCAUAGUCAUGUUGUCCAUAAGGUCAGCGGUAAAAGCAGCACAACCAGCCAUACGAGAUGAACCUGGACACCAGCUGAGACCAGGAGACUGGGUGAACCUGGACACCAGCUGAGACCAGGAGACUGGGUGAACCUGGAUAUCAGCUGAGACCAGGAGACUGGGUGAACCUGGACACCAGCUGAGACCAGGAGACUGGGUGAACCUGGAUAUCAGCUGAGACCAGGAGACUGGGUGAACCUGGAUAUCAGCUGAGACCAGGAGACUGGGUGAACCUGGAUAUCAGCUGAGACCAGGAGACUGGGUGAACCUGGAUAUCAGCUGAGACCAGGAGACUGGGUGGUGGUGAAGGACUUCCAGAGGAAGAGGUGGUGCGAACCAAGGUGGCGUGGGCCGAUCCUGCUCACGACUCCAACCGCAGUCUGGGUGGCUGAACGAACACCUUGGAUUCACGCCAGUCAAUGCAAAUUGUAUUUUUCUGUGAACAUGUUAUCAUUUAUAUGAUAAAAGGAGGGAUUGUGGGAGAAAAAUAUAAUGUAACCUAGGAUAUAUAGUGCAUCCGGAAAGUAUUCACAGUGCUUCACUUUUCCCACAUUUUGUUAUGUUACAGCCUUAUUCCAAAAUGGAAUAAAUUCAUUUUUUUCCUCAAACUUCUACACACAACACCCCAUAAUGACAACAUGAAAUAAGUUUUUUUGAAAUCUUUGCAAAUUUAUUUUUAAAAAAACCCUAAGAAAUCACAUAUACAUAAGUAUUCACAGCCUUUGCCAUAAAGCUCAAAAUUGAGCUCAGGUGCAUCCUGUUUCCACUGAUCAACCUUGAGAUGUUUCUACAGCUUAAUUGGAGUCCACCUGCGGUAAAUUCAGUUGAUUGGACAUGAUUUGGAAAGGCACACACCUGUCUAUAUAAGGUCCCACAGUUGACAGUGCAUGUCGGAGCACAAACCAAGCAUGAAGUCAAAGGAAUUGUCUGUAGACCUCCGAGACAGGAUUGUCUCAAGGCACAAAUCUGGGGAAGGGUAGAGAAAAAUUUCUGCUGCUUUGAAGGUCCCAAUGAGCACAGUGGCCUCCAUCAUCCAUGAAUGGAAGAAGUUUGGAACCACCAGGACUCUUCCUAGAGCUGGCCGCCCGUCUAAACUGAGCAAUCGGGGGAGAAGGGCCUUAGUCAGGGAGGUGACCAAGAACCCGAUGGUCACUCUGUCAGAGCUCCAGCGUUCCUCUGUGGAGAGAGGAGAACCUUCCAGAAGGACAACCAUCUCUGCAGCAAUCCACCAAUCAGGCCUGUAUGGUAGAGUGGCCAGACGGAAGCCACUCCUUAGUAAAAGGCACAUGGCAGCCCGCCUGGAGUUUGCCAAAAGGCACCUGAAGGAUUCUCAGACCAUGAGAAACAAAAUUCUCUGGUCUGAUGAGACAAAGAUUGAACUCUUUGGUGCGAAUGCCAGGCGUCAUGUUUGGAGGAAACCAGGCACCGCUCAUCACCUGGCCAAUGCCAUCCCUACAGUGAAGUUUUUUCAGCAGCAGGAACUGGGAGACUAGUCAGGAUUGAGGGAAAGAUGAAUGCAGCAAUGUACAGAGACAUCCUGGAUGAAAACCUGCUCCAGAGCACUCUUGACCUCAGACUGGGGCGACGGUUCAUCUUUCAGCAGGACAACGACCCUAAGCACACAGCCAAGAUAUCAAAGGAGUGGCUUCAGGACAACUCUGUGAAUGUCCUUGAGUGGCCCAGCCAGAGCCCAGACUUGAAUCCGAUUGAACAUCUCUGGAGAGAUCUGAAAAUGGCUGUGCACCGACGCUCCCCAUCCAACCUGAUGGAGCCUGAGAGAUGCUGCAAAGAGGAAUGGGUGAAACUGCCCAAAGAUAGGUGUGCCAAGCUUGUGGCAUCAUAUUCAAAAAGACUUGAGGCUGUAAUUGCUGCCAAAGGUGCAUCAACAAAGUAUUGAGCAAAGGCUGUGAAUACUUAUGUACAUGUGAUUUCUUAGUUUUUUAUUUUUAAUAAAUUUGCUAAAAUUUCAAAAAAACUUCUUUCAUGUUGUCAUUAUGGGGUGUUGUGUGUAGAACUUUGAGGAAAAAAAUGAAUUUAUUCCAUUUUGGAAUAAGGCUGUAACAUAACAAAAUGUGGGAAAAGUGAAUACUUUCCGGAUGCACUGUAUGUAUCCAGAUAUGUACAAUGCAUAUAGUUAGAAAACUGCUUGAUGUGCUUGUGACAGAUAACCAGCAAAAAUGUAAGGGAGGGGUGAGUGCUCUACCACAGCUUACGUCAUAUAGGCCUACGUGCAGGAGAUAAAGCAGAACACUCUCCCAUUUUAUCAUAACAAGUUCAUGUGCUUGUUAUGAUAAAAAUGAUGAGGAGGAAUCGCACCCAAGGUCAGUUCCUCCUUAACCAGCCUAAGGAGGAAAGACGGAUGAUAAAUGUAAGCUUUGUAGUUGCUGUAGCAGUGUGUUAAUUGCAAAACAAAUGUUACAUGACUUAAAGAGCAGAUGUGGGCCCAGGAGUACAACGUGUGAUGAAAAAGUACUGAAACACUGUAUGAAGAUGAUUGGCUUUCACCGUAUUGUAUUCAUGUGAUAACUUAGGAUGUGUAAUGGUAUAAGAAUAGACACCCUGUCUGCUCAAAUCUAGUGUGUAUUCUCACAUUGGUGUGAUGCAUUCUCUGUGCUUUGUUUUGCUGCAGUAUUAAUAAAGUUUGUAUUAUUGUAGCUCUC